UAACUCUUUACUUAAUUAUUUGCCGUUUACACGCGCAGCUCAAGAGAGUUUCUCAGAUGACUAAUUUUGAAAAUUUGUCUGGUUUAAUUUAUGUCUUAUGUCUCUGCGGCCAAUACAAAUAUUCUGUUUUUGGGUCAUUCACGUUUUCUCAGAAAUUUAGCAAAUUCAAAAUACUGGAAAGAAAAUGUUUAUGAGUUUAAUGCUAUAAUUGAUAUGUUUUAUCCAAAUGACAAUCACAAUACUAUAGAAAGUUUGCCUUUAUCUCCUCCAUGUGGUUUUAUUAAUGAAAUAAGUUACAAUGAACUUAAUUUAUGCGAAGUAAUUGGAAGAGGUGCUUACGGUACUGUUCAAAAAGCAAUAUGGAGAAAUCAUAUAGUUGCAAUAAAAAUUCCAGAAAAUCAAAAUGAUCGUAAAGAAUUUAGAGAUGAAGCUAAACGGUUAUCUAUUGUGCAGCACAGAAACAUAAUCCAGUUAUAUGGAACAGUUAUAAAUGGGCCAAAACUGUGCUUAGUGAUGGAGCUAGCAGAUUGUGGUUCAUUACAUAAUUUGCUGCACCCACCACUUGGGAAUAAAACUAUUCAUUACACACUUGCUCAUGUGUUAAGUUGGUCAUUACAAUGUGCUGAAGCAGUUGAUUAUUUACACAAUAUAAAGCCAAUGCCUAUCAUACACAGAGAUCUAAAACCACCUAACAUGUUGUUAAAGCAAUCUGGGACUGUUUUAAAAAUAUGUGAUUUUGGCACAGCAUGUCAUCCUCAUUCAGAAAUGUCUUCUAAUAAAGGAAGUGCAUCCUGGAUGGCACCAGAAGUAUUUAUAGGAACAAGGUAUGCUGAGAAAUGUGAUGUUUAUAGCUUUGGCAUCAUACUUUGGGAGAUGUUAGCAAGAAAAAAGCCAUUUGAAGGAAAUCCAUUUCAAAUAAUGUGGAAGGUGCAUGAAGGAAAGCGGCCUUUUCCAAUAAAUGGUAUUCCAUCAUGUUUAGAAAUUCUCAUUCAGAGGUGUUGGCAGAAAGAAGAAAAAGAUCGACCGGCUUUUGUUGAUAUUGUAAAAUUUUUGCGUAAAGCCAACUCGUAUGUAUCGGGCGGAGAAUUACCUUUGAUGGAGUGCGCACAAUCUGCUUGCAAACAAUCAUGGGUUGAUAGUGAAACAAAGACAUCAAUACCUAGCGAAACAAAUGAAGAUCGUAUUACUGAAACAAGUCAAUCAGUUAUAUCAGAAAGUAAUCAUAUGCCUUCAAUGAACCCCUCUCCAUUUAUUGCUAUAUCUUCACCCAAAAUUUCAAAAAGAAUUUUUUUAAGCUAUCCAGAAAACUUUGAUCCUCAAAUAAUACCAGAAACUUCAUCAACAAGCAAUUUGCAUUCUAGUCAAAGUUUUAAUUUGAUUCCACCUGAUUUGCUGCCAAUGAAACCAUUAGAAGAUCCUGAAUCUAUUCAAAUAUAUAGGAAUCAUAUGGAAGGAAAAUUUACAAAAGAAUAUAAUUGAAAUAAAUUUACAACAAACAAAAAGUAUGAACGACUUCAUUUCAGCUCAGGAAACCAGGCAACAAUUACUGGAUAUGCACAAGACGAUAAAACCAUUGUUACAAAAAGAACGUGCUAAAUUUGCUGGAACAUCUUUAAUAGAUCCCAAUGUGCGAUGAAUAAAUCCAUUGUUGUUCAAUUGACAAAAAAUUUUUUUUAAUUAAACCGACGGUUUUUUGUAAUAUAUUAUGAAUUAUGCAUAUUACGUGCAAUAUAGGACAAAUUCUGAGUGCUCUCAGACAAUAGAAAUGUUUUAAUUUUAUAAAUUUUUUGCAAUUCCGUGUAAUUGUAAAAUUACGGCUGCUUUUUGUACAUAAUGUUAAAGUUAAUAAAUUAAAAGAAAAAAAUUUA
rnacentral:misc_RNA from 1 species